AUGAUUGUGACUCCCGCAGGCGGCGUACAAGCUGCAGAGUGACCGAGUAGGCCACGGCUACCACGUUGUUCAAGACGAGAAGUUGUACGCUCGGUGUCGCCGAGACAGGAUUCAUUUCGAGUGUUGCCCGUACUCCAGCUUCUUGACCGCUGCUGUGCCUCCCAACUGCGCCAAACACCCCAUCCUCAGAUUUGCUGAGGAUGGAGUGAAUUUCUCGCUGAGUUCUGACGACCCGGACCUUGACCGGAAAUUACGUCGACGGGGACUACAAACUCGCCAGGAGUUUCGGACUCACGGAUCAGCACCUAGCUCAAGCUAAUCUGAAUGCGGCCAAAGCAGCAUUUUUACCAGAGUCGGAGAAGAAAGAGUUGAUCAAAGAGAUUUGCAAAUCUUACGGUCUAGAAGAUAAAUAGCGGUGGAUGUUCUUGUCAUUGUUCUUAUGUUAGAAUUAUCAGAGUAAUUCGAUGUCAGUGAAGUGCUAAGAGUAGAAGUAUAUUUUCGCGGGCGGUUACCGAAAAUUUAAAUCCAUCCUUUCUUAACUAACAAUUAAAAAACAUUUCCUUAGUUUCUUUUAAUUAACAAUAAAUAAUACACUAGAUAACACUAUAGGUUUCUUUUACACAGAGAAAAAGAUACUUAAAAUGUACAAGCCUAACGACAGUAAGAUAAUUUUCAGAACUGUUACACGAUAACGCAGUAUAACUUAAGUGAGUAUUAAGUUUAGUUCCAGUUCACCUUCUUCUUAGUGCAGCGUCUGGAACUUGGCAGUCACAGACUUGACUCCUGGUAUCUGGAGUCAUGUUCGUCUGAAGAUAUCCAAAAAGGUUUGUCGAUGGAGAACCUCAAAAUCAUUUUGACAUCAGAGACGUCUGACUAAAAAAGUCUGUGGCAGUGUCAGAUUCCAGACGAUACAUUCGAGAGGGAAGUAAACUGGAGCAUUGAAUCAACCCUUCCCACCAUAGCUGCGUUAUGUAUAGUUGUAUCUUUUUAUGAACCACACCUUGAAAAUAUUUGCAAGCUGGAGGUUUUCUUGAAAAUAUCUAAAAUUCCUUGUCAAACAUUCACUACGAAAAAUUCGAAAACCUUUACUUAAGCCGCAUGUGAAUUCAUACACUUUUCAAAUACGUACCAUGUCCUAAACAAGAAAGUAAAGUUGUAUGAAAUUCCUUAAUUCAAAACUUUCCAUACAACAUUUUGACACGUAAUUUAUGAACAAUGUAUGUAGUUUAAGAUGUAUAUUCUAAGAUUAUUAAAUUUGUUAUAUCCAUUAGGUAUGCUCAUAUGUACAACUUGUAUUGUGUAAUAGUCAUCAAAGUAUUCUUUACACAAUAUGUGAAUGUUAUGGAACUUUAUUUCUAGUAUGUAAUGGAAAGGUAACUGUGAUCAAAACUUGUUUUUCAAUUUCGAAAUACUUACUUGUUGUUUUGUUGUUGCUAUAUAUUGAUAGUUGUUUUACAUUGUUUAAUUCUUUUGAGUUGUUUAUUUGCAAUAUAAAAUCACUAGCAAGAAGCAGCUUGCCAAUAUUAGUUUUUACUGCUCCUAUUGAGCAUCAAAAAUGUACAAUAUAUUCUGAAUAAAUAUUUGAAGAAAA
rnacentral:lncRNA from 1 species